UACAGAGGGUGCAAGCGUUGUUCGGAAUUAUUGGGCGUAAAGCGCGUGUAGGCGGCUUGUUAAGUCGGGUGUGAAAGCCCUCAGCUCAACCUGGGAAUUGCAUUCGAUACUGGGAUGAGCUAGAGUUCGGCAGAGGGAAGCGGAAUUUCCGGUGUAGCGGUGAAAUGCGUAGAUAUCGGAAGGAACAUCAGUGGCGAAAGCGGCUUCCUGGACCAGAACUGACGAUCAGGCACGAAAGCGUGGGGAGCAAACAGG
rnacentral:rRNA from 1 species